CUAUAAGAGAGAAGCUCCUGACCUAAUUAGGCCAGAAGCUCCUCUCAGGUUUAUUCUCCAAAAUAAACCUGUCUUUGACUGUUGAGUUGCUUUUUGUGUUUCUUUCUUCCUUCUUCAACUCUUACAGAAGGGAGUGAAGAAAGGGAGGCCAAGGCAGAGACAGAGAUUCAAGGCAAAUUCAUGUUCUCAGUCUCAGAAGAGAAGAUGCCAGGACACAAGUCAGUAAGAUGAUUAAAACACAGGAGCAGAAAGUAUCCUUCACAACUGUCAUAUACUGAGUCCUCCAAAGCUUAAACAGUUAUGUGACUGCCAUGAAGCCUUUCCACGUGGCUGUGGAUGACUACCUGUGAUGUGCCCGUGCUCCAGUCCAGCCCACUACCUCUUCAGAAAAGAUGGCUGCUUGGUUUUAGAAACUAGACACCAAAUAACAAGAUUAUUCUAAUUUAUAUUGCUUGGGUGCUAUAUAUACAUAUAUAUAUAUAUAUGAUUUGAUGAACUGUAUUUUCCACUUCAUAGCUCAGUUCUCCUUUUCCUUUGAAUAAUGAAUUCCAUUUUGACAAUUCCUCAGGGUGACUUCUAUGGCUACUCAAGCCAAGCCUUGCCCUGGUGGGUAUCAAGUCCCUCAGCCCCACCACCAGCUCCCACUUGAAGGAAUGAGGCUCUGAUAUGGCAGAAGUUCAGAGCAGAGUCUUUUCAGCAGGAACAGGACAAAGCCAGAGACAGUGGGAGUGAAGAUGGGGACAAAGAAAGCAGAAUAAUUUUACCUGAGAAGAAACCAGGAGGCUUCUUCUUCUUCUUCUCUCUUUUUUUUUUUUUUUUUUUUGACUAUACAGAAGAAAACUAUCAGAGUUAGGUUAGAGAGUUGGGUUUGGGGUCAGGUUGUAGCAUGUGUUAUAUUAUGGGUUAAAUUGUGUCCUCCCCAAAAUUAAUAUGUUGAAGUCUUAACUCCCUGUACCUCAGAAUGUGACCUCAUGGGGAAAUAAGGUCAUUGCAAUAUAAUUAGGUAAAAUAAGGUCAUACUAGAAGAGGGUAGGCCCCUAAUCCAAUGUGACUGGUGUCGUUAUUACAAAGGGAAAUUUGGACAGAGACACACAUGGGGAAAAUGCCAGGUAAAGAUGAAACCAGAGAUCAGAGUGAUGCUUCCACAAACCAAGGAAUGCCAGAGAUUGUCAGCAAACCAUGUCAAGCUAGGGAGGGUCUUCCUCACAAACCCCAGGGACAAACAAUGCCAAUACCUUGAUCUUGAACUUCUCACCUCGAGAAUUGUGAGACAAUAAAUGUUUGUUGUUUAAGCCAAUUGGUUUGUGGUACUUUAUUAGGGCAGCCCAAGGAAACUGAUACAUGUUUAAAGAUUGUUUGACCUUUAUUUUAUAGGCAAAAGGAAAGCACAGAAAAAGUCAGGGCAGAGAUAUGAUCUGACCAAUUAAUCUGGUUUCCAUAUGUUAAAUUGACUAAACGGGGUGUGUAGGGGCUAGACUGGAUGGAGUCCACAACACAACUGCAAACUACAGUGUCUGGUGCCUAGUAGGUGAUCAAUAAAUAAUUUUAUCUUAUAUUUCCUAGUUCUUAAUAUCUGACAUAGUUCUUGCAUCACAUUUAAUGAUUGCAACCACCCCAUAAGGGAGAUAGUAUAUCUCGUUUACAAAUGAGCAAAUUGAUGUUGAAGAAUGGUGAGAGAUGGAGCCAAAAAUUAAAUCCAGAUUUGUCUGUUUCCAGGGCCCAAGUUCUUUACUACUAGCAUUCAUGAUCAUGUAGUAAAUAUAUGUUUAAUAACUAGGUGAAUGCAUGUGGAUGCUUGUGUUUGCAUUCAUGUGCAUAAAUAUGACUGAGAAAUAAAGCCAAAAAGAGUAACUGCUAUAAUAUAAAUUCAUCCCUUCAGGUUACUGAAGUGGAUAUUUUACAGGGAAAUUAAUUAGAAAAAGAAAUACCAAUAUGUAGAAAAUUCAUAAGCAUUUUAAUAAUUAGGAAUGAUACACAAUUUAUUCUGCUCAAGGAAAACUAAAUUAAGAAGCAGACUGUAGAUACAGGCAUGAGGAGAUUUGAAAUAUUGAGUAUUGGACCAGUCAAGUCAAAUUAAAAACUUAAGCCAAUUUAACCUCCACUUUGAUGACUUCUUUUGAAGUCUUUAACUGAUGUGUGAAAGAUCAUUUGACUCUCAAGAGUUUCCAUUUCAACUCACUUUCAUUUGUAUUUAUAACACGGGCACAGUUGAGUUUCAGUAGACUUAUAUUUUUUAUCUCUUUAUAUGGGUCACUUUCUGUUUCUUACCCGAUUCUUUACUGCCUUAUGUAUUCAAUAAAAUAAAAUGAUGCCUUUAUUCA
rnacentral:lncRNA from 1 species